GACGAACGCUGGCGGCGUGCUUAACACAUGCAAGUCGAACGGAAAGGCCUCUUUCGGGGGGUACUCGAGUGGCGAACGGGUGAGUAACACGUGAGUAACCUGCCCUUGACUUUGGGAUAACUUCAGGAAACUGGGGCUAAUACCGGAUAGGAGCUCCUGCUGCAUGGUGGGGUUGGAAAGUUUCGGCGGUUGGGGAUGGACUCGCGGCUUAUCAGCUUGUUGGUGGGGUAGUGGCUUACCAAGGCUUUGACGGGUAGCCGGCCUGAGAGGGUGACCGGCCACAUUGGGACUGAGAUACGGCCCAGACUCCUACGGGAGGCAGCAGUGGGGAAUAUUGCACAAUGGGUGGAAGCCUGAUGCAGCAACGCCGUGUGCGGGAUGACGGCCUUCGGGUUGUAAACCGCUUUCGCUCAUGACGAAGCCUUGUGUGACGGUAGUGGGUAAAGAAGCACCGGCUAACUACGUG
rnacentral:rRNA from 1 species